GUGCCAGCCGCCGCGGUAAUUCCAGCUCCAAUAGCGUAUAUUAAAGUUGUUGUGGUUAAAAAGCUCGUAGUUGAACCUUGGGCCUGGCUGGCCGGUCCGCCUCACCGCGUGCACUGGUCCGGCCGGGCCUUUCCCUCUGUGGAACCCCAUACCCUUCACUGGGCGUGGCGGGGAAACAGGACAUUUACUUUGAAAAAAUUAGAGUGCUCCAGGCAGGCCUAUGCUCGAAUACAUUAGCAUGGAAUAAUAAAAUAGGACGCGCGGUUCUAUUUUGUUGGUUUAUAGGACCGCCGUAAUGAUUAAUAGGGACAGUCGGGGGCAUCAGUAUUCAACUGUCAGAGGUGAAAUUCUUGGAUCAGUUGAAGACUAACUACUGCGAAAGCAUUUGCCAAGGAUGUUUUCAUUAAUCAGGAACGAAAGUUAGGGGAUCGAAGACGAUCAGAUACCGUCGUAGUCUUAACCAUAAACUAUGCCGACUAGGGAUCGGACGGUGUUAUUCAUGACCCGUUCGGCACCUUACGAGAAAUCAAAGUGCUUGGGCUCCAGGGGGAGUAUGGUCGCAAGGCUGAAACUUAAAGAAAUUGACGGAAGGGCACCACCAGGGGUGGAGCCUGCGGCUUAAUUUGACUCAACACGGGGAAACUCACCAGGUCCAGACACAAUAAGGAUUGACAGAUUGAGAGCUCUUUCUUGAUUUUGUGGGUGGUGGUGCAUGGCCGUUCUUAGUUGGUGGGGUGACUUGUCUGCUUAAUUGCGAUAACGAACGAGACCUUAACCUGCUAAAUAGCCCGCAUUGCUCCGGCAGUGCGCUGGCUUCUUAGAGGGACUUUCGGCUCAAGCCGAAGGAAGUUUGAGGCAAUAACAGGUCUG
rnacentral:rRNA from 1 species